rnacentral:rRNA from 1 species
GACGAACGCUGGCGGCGUGCUUAACACAUGCAAGUCGAACGGGCCUUGUCCCCUUUUUUUUUGGGGGUGGGGUUAGUGGCGAACGGGUGAGUAACACGUGAGUAACCUGCCCCUCACUUCUGGAUAACCGCUUGAAAGGGUGGCUAAUACGGGGUGUUCUGGCCUGCUCGCAUGGGUGGGUUUGGAAAGAUUCGACCGGUUUUGGUUGUUUUGGUGGGGGAUGGGCUCGCGGCCUAUCAGCUUGUUGGUGGGGUGAUGGCCUGCCAAGGCUUUGACGGGUAGCCGGCCUGAGAGGGUGUGCGGUCACACUGGGACUGAGACACGGCCCAGACUCCUACGGGAGGCAGCAGUGGGGAAUAUUGCACAAUGGGCGCAAGCCUGAUGCAGCGACGCCGCGUGAGGGAUGGAGGCCUUCGGGUUGUGAACCUCUUUCGCCAGUGAAGAAGGUCCUGCUCUUUGUGGUGGGGUUGACGGUAGCUGGGUUAAUGAAGCGCCGGCUAACUACGUG